rnacentral:rRNA from 1 species
GAUGAACGCUGGCGGCGUGCCUAAUACAUGCAAGUCGAGCGAACAGACGAGGAGCUUGCUCCUCUGACGUUAGCGGCGGACGGGUGAGUAACACGUGGAUAACCUACCUAUAAGGCUGGGAUAACUUCGGGAAACCGGAGCUAAUACCGGAUAAUAUAUUGAACCGCAUGGUUCAAUAGUGAAAGACGGUUUUGCUGUCACUUAUAGAUGGAUCCGCGCCGCAUUAGCUAGUUGGUAAGGUAACGGCUUACCAAGGCAACGAUGCGUAGCCGACCUGAGAGGGUGAUCGGCCACACUGGAACUGAGACACGGUCCAGACUCCUACGGGAGGCAGCAGUAGGGAAUCUUCCGCAAUGGGCGAAAGCCUGACGGAGCAACGCCGCGUGAGUGAUGAAGGUCUUCGGAUCGUAAAACUCUGUUAUUAGGGAAGAACAAAUGCGUAAGUAACUAUGCACGUCUUGACGGUACCUAAUCAGAAAGCCACGGCUAACUACGUG